GACGAACGCUGGCGGCGUGCCUAAUACAUGCAAGUAGAACGCUGAAGAGAGGAGCUUGCUCUUCUUGGAUGAGUUGCGAACGGGUGAGUAACGCGUAGGUAACCUGCCUGGUAGCGGGGGGAUAACUAUUGGAAACGAUAGCUAAUACCGCAUGAAAUGGAUUAUCGCAUGAUAAUCGAUUGAAAGGUGCAAAUGCAUCACUACCAGAUGGACCUGCGUUGUAUUAGCUAGUUGGUGGGGUAACGGCUCAUCAAGGCAACGAUACAUAGCCGACGUGAGAGAGUGAUCGGCCACCAUGGGACUGAGACACGGCCCAGACUCCUACGGGAGGCAGCAGUAGGGAAUCUUCGGCAAUGGACGGAAGUCUGACCGAGCAACGCCGCGUGAGUGAAGAAGGUUUUCGGAUCGUAAAGCUCUGUUGUAAGGGAAGAACGAGUGUGAGAGUGGAAAGUUCACACUGUGACGGUAUCUUACCAGAAAGGGACGGCUAACUACGUGCCAGCCGCCGCGGUAA
rnacentral:rRNA from 1 species